rnacentral:rRNA from 1 species
AUGAACGCUAGCUACAGGCUUAACACAUGCAAGUCGAGGGGCAGCAUGGUCUUAGCUUGCUAAGGCCGAUGGCGACCGGCGCACGGGUGAGUAACACGUAUCCAACCUGCCGUCUACUCUUGGACAGCCUUCUGAAAGGAAGAUUAAUACAAGAUGGCAUCAUGAGUCCGCAUGUUCACAUGAUUAAAGGUAUUCCGGUAGACGAUGGGGAUGCGUUCCAUUAGAUAGUAGGCGGGGUAACGGCCCACCUAGUCUUCGAUGGAUAGGGGUUCUGAGAGGAAGGUCCCCCACAUUGGAACUGAGACACGGUCCAAACUCCUACGGGAGGCAGCAGUGAGGAAUAUUGGUCAAUGGGCGAGAGCCUGAACCAGCCAAGUAGCGUGAAGGAUGACUGCCCUAUGGGUUGUAAACUUCUUUUAUAAAGGAAUAAAGUCGGGUAUGGAUACCCGUUUGCAUGUACUUUAUGAAUAAGGAUCGGCUAACUCCGUGCCAGCAGCCGCGGUAAUACGGAGGAUCCGAGCGUUAUCCGGAUUUAUUGGGUUUAAAGGGAGCGUAGAUGGAUGUUUAAGUCAGUUGUGAAAGUUUGCGGCUCAACCGUAAAAUUGCAGUUGAUACUGGAUAUCUUGAGUGCAGUUGAGGCAGGCGGAAUUCGUGGUGUAGCGGUGAAAUGCUUAGAUAUCACGAAGAACUCCGAUUGCGAAGGCAGCCUGCUAAGCUGCAACUGACAUUGAGGCUCGAAAGUGUGGGUAUCAAACAGGAUUAGAUACCCUGGUAGUCCACACGGUAAACGAUGAAUACUCGCUGUUUGCGAUAUACAGCAAGCGGCCAAGCGAAAGCGUUAAGUAUUCCACCUGGGGAGUACGCCGGCAACGGUGAAACUCAAAGGAAUUGACGGGGGCCCGCACAAGCGGAGGAACAUGUGGUUUAAUUCGAUGAUACGCGAGGAACCUUACCCGGGCUUAAAUUGCAGAUGAAUUACGGUGAAAGCCGUAAGCCGCAAGGCAUCUGUGAAGGUGCUGCAUGGUUGUCGUCAGCUCGUGUCGUGAGAUGUUGGGUUAAGUCCCGCAACGAGCGCAACCCUUAUCCUCAGUAGCCAGCAGGUAAAGCUGGGCACUCUGUGGAGACUGCCAGGGAUAACCUGGAGGAAGGUGGGGAUGACGUCAAAUCAGCACGGCCCUUACGUCCGGGGCUACACACGUGUUACAAUGGGGGGUACAGAGGGCCGCUACCACGCGAGUGGAUGCCAAUCCCCAAAACCUCUCUCAGUUCGGACUGGAGUCUGCAACCCGACUCCACGAAGCUGGAUUCGCUAGUAAUCGCGCAUCAGCCACGGCGCGGUGAAUACGUUCCCGGGCCUUGUACACACCGCCCGUCACACCAUGGGAGUCGGUAACACCCGAAGCCUGUAGUCUAACCGCAAGGAGGACGCAGUCGAAGGUGGGAUUGAUGACUGGGGUG